CCAGGAGAGAGCGCCCGGCCCCUCCGUGUCGCCAGGCUCUUAAUGUUAACUGAAGGUUUAUCUGUGUAGUCGUGGCUGUCCUGGAACUGACCUUGAACUCAGGGAUCCGCCUGCCAUUGCCUCCCGGGUGCUGGGAUUAAAGGAUUGCGCCACCACUGCCAGGUGAGCAAUACUUUCAUAGACAGGUCUCGCUGUGUAGCCCAGGCUGGCCUAAAAUUCACAGAACUAGGACUGCCUCUGCCUCCCAAAGGAUUAAAGGUCUUGAGGUGGUAGCCUAGACUUGCCUCAGACUUAUCUUGCUUCAACCACCCAAGGGUAGGGAUUUAAAACGUGAGCCAUUGCACCCAACAACGAUUAUUUUAAACUUUUUAUUUUAAAUUAUGUUUAUAUCCACAUGAGUUGGUGCCCUUGAAGGCCUGAGGCCUUUGAUCCUUGGAGCUGGAGUUACAGGCAGUCAUGAGCUACCUGACAUGGAUGCUGGGAACUGAACUUGGGUCCUUUGUAAGAUUACCAUCUUUCCAGACCCAACAAUACAUAAUUGGAAAAACUAAAUCUUAUUUUAAAAAAUGACAUGUGUGCUGGGCCGUGGUGGCACACACCUUUAAUCCCAGCAGAGGAAAGUGAAUUAAAAGCCAGCCUAGUCUAGAGAGAGCUUCAGGACAUCCAAGGCUACACAGAGAAAUCCUGUCUCAGGAAGAAAACCAAACCAAACCCCACUUUUAUGUGUGUAUGUGCAUGGGUGUACAUAUACCACGUUGUGCUUAUGGGGGUUGGAGGACAACUUGCAGAAGUUGAUUCUCUCUGUAACAGAGCCCCAGACCUUAGCACAACUGACUCCAUGAUGGAAGUACCAUUCGGUCUGUAAAAUUCAUCGCAUGGACAGCACCAACAGCCAAAAGUUAAAGACCUAAUACAUCAAAGUCCAAAGUUAUGGUAAAAUAUCUAAAUUGCACUAACAUUGCUUUUUGGCUUCUGUAGUCCCGCUUCUGGUUAACUGUUCUUGUUACCCGAACGAAGUAUGUCAACCCAGAACAUGGUUUUUGUGCUUAAAAACACACCCUGAGAAAGGCUCACCAGGCUAGCCUGGGAUCCUGAACAUCCAGUGUAGGAUUUUCAGAUUUCCUCUUGGCUUAACCCCAUGUUGGAACAGUCUUUUCUGGUGAAUGCCCCCACACACUCUCUUUCCACCAUGUGGGUUCCCAGGGAUCAAAUUCAGGCUUAGCAGCAAGCAUCUUUACCCACUGGGCCACUAACUGCCUCUCUCCCACAUUGAGGCUUAGUUUCAUGUAGCCCAGGGUAGCCUUGAACUUACUUUGUAGUCAAAGAUGACCUUGAAUUUCUGAUCCUUCUACCUCCACCUGAGGCCACAGGUGUGUCUUCACACUGGUAGGUGAUACUGGGAAUCAAACCCAGGGCUUUGUGCAUUCUAACACGCUUUUAUUUUUCUUUGAGAUAGUUUUCUCUGUGUAGCCUUGGCUGUCCUGGACCCAUUUGUAGACUGUGCUGGCCUCCAACUCACAGAGAUACCCCUGCCUCCCUGAAUGCUUGGAUUGCAGGCAUGCAGCCUGCACCAGGUGCACAAACACAACCAUUUACUUAUUUUAGUCAUUUAUUUAUUUUUAUUUCUUUAGGUUUUUCCAAGACAGGGUUUCUCUGUAGCUUUGGAUGUCCUAGACUCCCUUUCUAGACCAGGCUGGCCUCGAACUCAUAGAGAUCUGCCAGCCUCUGCCUCUCAGAGUGCUCUGAUCACAGGCGUGCACCACUGGUUUUUUAUUUUUUAGAGACAAGGCCUCUCUAUGUAGCCCUCACUGUCCUAAGAAUUCUAUGUAGGGCUCCAACUCACAGAAAUACACCUGCCUCUCCCAAGUGCUGGGACUAAGUUCAUGCAACAUCAUGUCCAGCUCAUACGUGAGUUUAAAGAAAGAGUGUUUAACAGCGAAAGGGUUUUCAAUAAUCAUAAAAUUGCUAAGGCUAAGAGAUCGAAAAACAGUGGGAGCAUGCACUGGCACAUUGCGACCACUAGGGGGCGGACAAGGUGAUCCAGAAAUGCCUGAGACAGGAGCAGAGGACACAACUCCAGAAGGGGGGAGUGUGACAAGCACUUGUGGGCCUCAAGGACAAUGCCCAGCAGCGAAGGCCACAUACAGUAAGUGGAAUCUAGGCCAGAAGUCACACAGACUAAAGGAUGUGGGUAGGUGGAGAGUCCUCUUCCCUCAAGGCUACAGUACCUGCCACUCCUGUUCGUGUCCUGUCAGAAUUUGGAGCUGGAGGUGAAGCUCUUACUUUUGGAGCCACAUGGGUCUCUCGGGGAAGCGAACAAAAGCUGUGCGAUUCAGCCUGUACCUGCACACCAAGGCGCAGUCAUCAGGCCUCUGAUGACAGCCUCUAAUACUGCCUUACGCCCACAGAACUUUCUAUUUCAGCUCUUUAGUGACAGUCCUUCCCUACUCCAACUCACAAAACUGUUGCCAUGAUUACAAGAAAGAAUGUCAACGGGCCAGCACUAGUCCGCCUCUAGUUUGACAGAGAAAGACUUUAAGGGAGAAUUCUAGCCAGAUCCUGAAAAAGGUAUCUAAUCAAAAAGGAAACUCUUAAGAAUGACAUGCUAGCUGGCACGGUGGCACACGUCCAGGACAGCCAGGGCUACACAGAGAAGCCCUGUCUCACAAACCAACCAAACGAAAAAAGAUGUUCAGCAUCAGCAGUUCUCCACAAAUGGUUGCCAAAAACAUGGCCUGGACACAAGCAAACCCCAGGUUUCCACACUCUGCACCUAUAUGAUGUAUCUGGACCCUUUUAUGGUUUUUCUCCAGGAUCCAGCAUUUUCUUUGGCUAGCAAGAUGACUCAUGGGAUAAAAACACAAGCCAUCAAGCUUGACAACCUGAGUUUGGUCCUCAUGACCCACAUAGGAAAAAAACUGACCCCUGACAUUUGUCCUUUGACCUCCACAUGGAGUAGUAGGGCACAUGCAGCCUGCCCCAUAAAAAGUAAAAUUUAAGAAUUAAGGAGGUAUAUGUGGGGGGUGUAGAUUUCCAGGUUUGGCACUUGUUCUGGGAUCAGGAAGUGAAGUUGUAAGCUGUGGUUCUCUAUUAUGCUUUCCUGUCCAUCCCCUGCAGUGUUCUGCUGGCCAUUAGGAGCUGCUACAAGUUAUAGCCUCGGUGUCGGCAGCCCAUCCUCUGUCACUGUGGACCGGGACUCAGGCUUCCAGCACUUGCACUGGUGUCUAAAGCAGUUUCCAAACUGGUCUCUGAACAGUGUGUCUUGUAUGUAGUUAGGCAUGUCCUAACUACACGAGGGGACGUGAGGUGUGUCCUCUGGCCUCCACAUGGGGCAGUGGACGAGGGGGUGAGGGGAAGUGUGCAAAGGACUGAGCCCACUGUCAGGCUCAGUGCCGGUUCAGGAGGAAGUAACCAUUGUAGUGGUCCCCAGUUUAAGGCCCUGGGCUCCGUGCCCCAGUCGCGUCCCCUGCUGGGCUCUGAGAACUAGGCUCCCCUCCGACUAGAGAAGGCUGGUUCACACUAACUUGGGCACCGAUUCCCAUGCCAUCCACUCCUCAAUAGGCCUGGAACACCAAGUGGGCCACCAGUGCCACCUCCCUGAAGCAGGAAAGCAGAUUAAUUUGAGCAUGAAGUCACUAUUUCUCUUCCAGUGUGGUUUCCCACUUCAAGGUGCUGUUCUCCCAAUCCUGAAAAUCCUGUCCUUAGGACCCAGGCUCUGGUUACUUCUUUGAGGAACCUGCAGAGGAAUCUUAAUCCAGCAACUGUGUUUACUCUGACAGGAUUACAGACACUCCUUUAACCCCAGGAGACAGAGGCAAGCAGAUCUCUGAGUUCAAGGCCAGCCUGGUAUAGAGCAAGUUUCAGGUAGAGAAAAGCUUAGGUCGAGGCAUGGUGGUAUAUGCCAUCAAUUUCAGCACUCAGGAGACAGGCAUACAGAUCUCUGAGUUCUAGUCAGUGCUGCUCAGGCGGUUCUGCUGAGUCAGUUGAGAGGGAGUGCAGUAGAGUUGAGUUUGUGGCAGUUCAGUUCAUGAAAUUCAGAAGCGCUUUUACUGGGAGAGUUUUACAGGGACAGGUUGUACAGGGAACAGACUAGACACAGGUGAAGAUAGAAUGAUCCAGACAAUGACAUGGAGCCAGAAGAUUAGUAGAUUGAUAGUUUGAGGCCAAGCAGAGGAAUUCAGUCAGAAGCUGAGAGAAGCCAGUUUGAAUCAGUCAGCUAGAAGAAGAGUUUUAAGCCAGACAGCUGGGUAGAGCCAGCCAGCCAGACUUCAGAAAGAGCUAGAAAGUGUGAGCUUAUUCAGAAUUAAGUCUCAGAGCUGAAAACAUUCUAGACCUAGAUUAGAUUAUACAGAGAUUAGAAGCUUCCAAGAGUAAGCCUAGGUAAGCAAUGGAGGGAGUAAGCCUCCGAGACUACAAUUUCUUCUAAACAAUAAAAGAUACUUCUACAGGAACCCA